UACGUAGGGGGCAAGCGUUGUCCGGAAUCAUUGGGCGUAAAGCGCGUGUAGGCGGCCCGGUAAGUCCGCUGUGAAAGUCCAGGGCUCAACCCUGGGAUGCCGGUGGAUACUGUCGGGCUCGAGUCCGGAAGGGGCGAGUGGAAUUCCUGGUGUAGCGGUGAAAUGCGCAGAUAUCAGGAGGAACACCAAUGGCGAAGGCAGCUCGCUGGGACGUGACUGACGCUGAGACGCGAAAGCGUGGGGAGCAAACAGG
rnacentral:rRNA from 1 species